rnacentral:rRNA from 1 species
GUCUCUGGCCAUACCACCCUGAACGUGCCUGAUCUCGUCUGAUCUUGGAAGCUAAGCUGGGUUGGGACUUGUUAGUACUUGGAUGGGAGUAUUGUUUCAUGGAAUUU